rnacentral:tRNA from 1 species
GCCCGUCUAGCUCAGUUGGUAGAGCAUUAGACUUUUAAUCAGAGGGUCGUGGGUUCGAGCCCUACGGUGGGUA